CUACGUGCCAGCAGCCGCGGUAAUACGGAGGAUGCGAGCGUUAUCCGGAUUUAUUGGGUUUAAAGGGUGCGUAGGCGGCCUGUUAAGUCAGCGGUGAAAUCUAGGAGCUUAACUCCUAAAUUGCCAUUGAUACUGGCGGGCUUGAGUGUAGAUGAGGUAGGCGGAAUGCGUGGUGUAGCGGUGGAAUGCAUAGAUAUCACGCAGAACUCCGAUUGCGAAGGCAGCUUACUAAGGUACAACUGACGCUGAAGCACGAAAGCGUGGGGAGCAAAUAGGAUUAGAUACCCUAGUAGUCCACGCCGUAAACGAUGAAUACUAAGUAUUGGGGAAACUCAGUGCUGCAGCUAACGCAAUAAGUAUUCCGCCUGUGGAGUAUGCACGCAAGUGUGAAACAUAAAGGAAUUGACGGGGGCCCGCACAAGCGGUGGAGUAUGUGGUUUAAUUCGACGCAACGCGAAGAACCUUACCAGGCCUUGACAUCCCUUGCAAAGCUGUAGAGAUA
rnacentral:rRNA from 1 species